rnacentral:rRNA from 1 species
AUUGAACGCUGGCGGCAGGCCUAACACAUGCAAGUCGAGCGAGUGUCGGACGCGUGUGUAUUGUAUGUGGACUGCCCGUUAGAGGGGGAUAACUCCUGGCAACGCUAGCUAAUACCGCAUACUAUCGGAUCACCCCUAUGUGAUUAGCUAGUAGGUGAGGUAAUGGCUCACCUAGGCGACGAUCCCUAGCUGGUCUGAGAGGAUGAUCAGCCACACUGGGACUGAGACACGGCCCAGACUCCUACGGAGGCAGCAGUGGGGAAUAUUGAACAAUGGGCGCAAGCCUGAUGCAGCCAUGCCGCGUGUAUGAAGAAGGCCCUAGGGUUGUAAAGUACUUUCAGUCGGGAGGCGUUACCGACAGAAGAAGCACCGGCUAACUCCGUGCCAGCAGCCGCGGUAAUAC